rnacentral:rRNA from 1 species
CCUACGGGUGGCAGCAGUCGAGAAUCAUUCACAAUGGGGGAAACCCUGAUGGUGCGACGCCGCGUGGGGGAAUGAAGGUCUUCGGAUUGUAAACCCCUGUCAUGUGGGAGCAAAUUAAUAAGAUAGUACCACAAGAGGAAGAGCCGGCUAACUCUGUUCCAGCAGCCGCGGUAAUACAGCGGUUGCAAGCGUUGUUCGGAUUCACUGGGCGUAAAGCGUGCGUAGGCUGUUUCGUAAGUCGGUUGUGAAAGGCGCGGGCUCAACCCGAGGACGGCACAUGAUACUGGGAGACUAGAGUACAGGAGGGGGAAGCGGAAUUCGCGGUGUAGCAGUGAAAUGCGUAGAUAUCGAGAGGAACACUGGUGGCGAAGGCGGGUCCCUGGACUUUAACUGACGCUGAGGCACGAAGGCCAGGGGAGCGAAAGGGAUUAGAUACCCUUGUAGUC